UAAUUAAUUAAGUACUAUUCUUUAAAUGUUUAACCAAAGAAUACGUUUUAAACAAAUACUAAAUUAUGUGUAUUAUUUAAAAUAUAAAUUUAAAGUUUGCGCUAAUUAUUCCAAUGCAUACAGCAUACCUAUUAUAUUUUUUGAUAGUGUUUUAAUGUUGUAAUUUGGUUAAUAAAUUUGAAUUUAAUUAAAAAUAUACUUCUGUCCAAUCAGCAAUAUUAUUAUGUAUAUGGGAAUCAGAUUUCAUACUUUGCCAACAACUUUAUUUGUAUAAUUUAUUGUGGCAAUAAGUAGAGUUUAUAUAAUUAAUCAAAAAAUACAGUGAACUAUAUGACUAGGCAGCUCAAUUUGACCAGCAAUUAAUGCAAAUUUACAUUGCUUACUGUCUACUGGUAUCUGAUGACUAUAAAAGAAUAAAAUAUCCAUAUUUCUUUACAUAUUAUAUUUUAAUCUUUAAACAAGCUAAAUAAUUUAUUAUAAAAUUAAUUUUAUUUUCUUUCAAAUUUCAACUGCAAUUAGUAGUACUAACUUUUAAUUCAAAUAUCUAUAACAACAUUGGAUGAACAAUUACAAUUCGUAAUUUUGGUUAGUCACAGCAAAGUACAUCUCAGCUGAUAACU